rnacentral:lncRNA from 1 species
GUCAAAAACACCAAAGGACUAAUCCACGCACUGUGUAACUUUCAUUCCCCCUGCUUGAGUCUCUGCUGAAGACCGGUUUUAACUGUUAGAGGCCUGAAACCCAAUCCUGUUAUAAAUCAAGAAGCCAAAUUCCCUUUGGGCUUACAUCAGAGCAAACAAAUCAGUGCCUCCUCUAAUACUAAAGAUUAGGUCACAGGCCAGAGGAAACCUAACCUGCUUUGUGGGUUUAGAGCUGCAAGAGCUGUACAAAAAGAAAGAAAGAAAGAAAGAAAGAGGAGAGAGAGAGAGAGAGAGGGAGAAAGAAAGAAAGAAAGAAAGAGAGAGAGAGAGAGAAAGAAAGAAAGAAAGAAAGAAAGAAAGAAAGAAAGAAAGAAAGAAAGAAAGAAAGAAAAAAAGCUCUUGGCCUAACCCUUAACCAAAUGUGAAGUGCGUGUCAUAGGUGGAUGGAAUGUCAUUCUGCUCCUUGAAAUCAUCAUUUUUAGCAACAGAUUCAUAUCACAGUCACUUUUCCAUGAUGGCAUCUCCACAUUAUUUUGACCCUUAAUAACCAUCCCAGGCACCAAAAGCAAUCAUCAGGUUCUAUCACAAGCACUUUUCUGAUACCUUAAAAAUUUUCAGAGUCUGGGGCUGGUAAUUUCUCUUUAUGUCCCUGUAAACCCCAAAUCAAUCUCGACUUCCCUGCCCUUUCAUCCAACUGAUGCUGAGAACUUUCUCCCCAAAGAAAGAAAAGCCAGGCAUUCAGAGUCAGAUGUGGUGUGGACUGUUUCUGGUUAGAUGACUCAGCCCAUUUUUGUGGAUUUCCCAAGAUGCUUUCUGAAAUUCUGUUGAAAAAUAUCUUGUGUGAUCUGGUAACAAAUUAAACAAAAGACAAACCACCAAAUGCUUGCCUGUUUGAAAAGGCCAACCACAAAAUACUCCGAUUCACGGUGACCUAUCGUGGGGGAGAAGCAGCUCUGGAUCAUCAGAUAAAUUCUAACUUCCACAAACCCCGGCUCCCUGGACUCCUUUCUGAGGCUUCAUGAAAGAUAGAGGGGGGUUUCACAUAACUGCAUUUCAAAUAACUCUAAGGCUCAUGACACCAAGAUACUUUUUAAGGUUUUAGAAAACUUGCCCUCCUCUGCUGACCAUGCCAAGAUGCACUGGUGGCUUUGGUUUGCCUUAUUUUGCCAUCUUCAGUUUUAAAAGUAUUGAGAGACAGAGGAUGCUUGUUUGUUUUCAUUUUGUUUUAAUUCCAGAAGCUAAGUAAUCACUUAAUAUAUAUUUUCUUUGACAAUUAACAAAAGUGAUUCAUACUUUUUGUGGAAGUCUAUUUUCUUUCCAGCAGCACACGCCCACAUUUCUUUGGUGACUUACAGAGCAGAACAAUAAGCACCGAAUCUGUUUUUCACCAACCAGGAUUCCUCGCCAGGCUUUUCCCAGCAUACUCACGCAGAUGGAAUUUCUGGCUCACGCUUCGUCCUUUUGCUGUUGUUGUUGUGUUUGUUGAGGUUGUUGUUAGGUGUUUUCCUCUGAACUGAAAAAGGGAUAUAUCUAUGCUCUCCCUGAUCUCUCGGGAAGCUGACAAAACAAAGAAGCGUACGUGCCCAGCACACACAGCCCCGCCCAACCCUGUGGUGUAGUUUGUCCUGCCCAAACACAUGAACCACAAAGUGCGCUCAUUCACAAACACACAACUUCCUUUCCUGAACAACAGCGCCUCCCGCUCCCGCUGGAAAGGGUGUCCCCAGCUGUCUGGGAGAUGUCCUGCCCCGCCGCACGGGGGUGGAAUUUGCAGUUUUGCAGAGGAGUCACCAAGACGAGGCAAUUUGCUUGCUCUUGGUAAAGUUGUUUUGUUGUUGUUGCCGUUGAUUCUAUUUCUCUUUCUGGAACUGAAAUGUUGGCCUUUGGAGAAUUCCUGCGCUAUAAGGAGUACACAGACUUGGGAAAACUUAGCACACCAAGAGAAGGAGUGGCACUAUGUGUUUUGCCAAAACCCAUCUGAAAUUUCCUGUUUUCCACGUUUGGGAUGUAACGUUAACUUUUAGGGUCAGAGUUGCUCUCUCCCGGGGAAGUUGCAACUUUUUAUUCCUGACUUCUUCAAGGGCUUGUGAAAGAUCUCCAAUGUGCUUCUACAAAAGAUACAAAUGCCUUUUUAAGAAAACCCUCUGUGAGCUGCACUCAUUGGAUCUGAAACCAGAUGCAUUCAAUUUGCCUUUAAGUCUUCACCAGCUCAUCCUCAAGGUGAGCUUUCAUUCCUGAAGUUUGUGUAAUGCUGAAGUUACAGUUUUACAAGCAACGUUGAAAACGGCUUCCUGCUGUAACUUUCAGGAAGAGGAAGAGCUGUGUUAAGCCAAACUCUGGAGGCCAGUGACUGCAUGUUUGCUUCCACAGGAGGCUGGUCCGAACUGCAGCUUGUCCUCACAGCCAGGAGAAUGUUUGUCCAGAGAUCACUUUAAAAAAUGCUCAUCAGGUUGACAGUUAUAAGACCAUAAUAUGAGGACUUCACCCUGCUGAUGAGGGAGACUCAGAGAAUGAGAAAAGUACAGCUUUGGUAACUUUUGAAUGAGUUCCAUACUUGUCAUAAACACAGACCAACCCAAGUAAACUCCAGAGUUCAACUGUGACACGCUCUUCAGCCUGCACCAGAAAAGGCAGCGCAGUUAGGCUAAUCCCAGGCUAGCACAGAGAAGUUGGGAAGAGUGUUCAUCUCGCUCAGUCAGAAUUCACACACAGAAAGGGGAGUGGGUGGUUACCAGGCUUAAUAUGUUCAAUAAGGCUUUUUCUCCAGCAAGACGUGGAAAUCCUUUUAUAACCUGUUUUGUUCUUCCUCUAACCACUUACAUUUCUAUGUGUCACCCUUUCCUUCUCGAUAAAAUUUUGAUAAUCAUUUGUCCUAACAAAGCCCAGAGAGGCGUUGAAAGAAGCCCAUGAGAUUAUGGUUAGGAAAGCACUUUUGAAAAUGCUAUGUAAACACAAUGCUGUCACCACCUACUUGCGAAAUUGUGGACAGGAACAACUGCCUUACACACACACACACACCUGUGAAAUACCAGACUGAUUUAAUCCGAAAGGAAGGUUAAUUCCAAACUACUGAUCACUUCUGAUCAUUAAACACAUGCAGAUACGCACAGUUAAAAAGUAGUUUUUAGAAAAGGUAAAAUUAUCAUUCUCAUACACAUAUAAAUAAAUAGAUGUUUAAGAAUAUAUUUAACUCGUAGGAUGUGAGGGAAUUAAACAGAUGUUAUAACCGAUUCAAAGAAAAAAUCAAAAUGACACAUAAAAUAUAUGCAGCAAAGGAACAUUGAGAUCAACUGCAAAUAAGCAUGAAAUUGGACGGAGAGGAGGUCAAUGAAACCACUAUCAGCAAGUACAGAAUUUGCACAUCUGUCCUAUAGUUUGUGUAAGCUGCCUAUAAUUUACAAAGAAUUGCAUAGGAAUGCAAAAUUAAUGCACAGGGUUGAAUUCUGAUAACCCUGAAAGGUGUGCUCUAGAUCAUGCAGUUUUCUAGUGAAACACAAGACUCCUACACACCCAAGCAUACAGACUCUUUAGAUUCAUGAUUGGUCAUGUUUUAUGGGAAGACAGCCACGCUCAUGUCUCAGUGGCUGCUCCAUCUACACAACACCAGUGAGCAGUUACCGUGGAGACCACCCGGCCUCCAGAGCAUUUACUUUUUGGCUCCUUACAGAUAAAGUUUGCCGACCCCUAUUUCUAUCAAUAUAUGGCAUUGCAAACCAUAUUUAGUUAGUUAUGCAUUUAUUUCCUAAUUAAUGAGUGCCCAGUGGGUGCACUGGCAUCUCCCCCUUAAUGGAAUUCUUCUUAGCCAUGGACAUUUGUAAGCUAAGACUUAGGAUCAUCACUAAACAUAAAACGAUACACAAACCAAGUGGCUACCAACUUUUUAAAUUAUUAUUUUGAGUUUUGUUAAAUGUCUUAUUUUUAAUACACUAGCAAACAAAGAUAGUGCUGUCUGAACAAUGAAGAUGCCCAUCCAACUGUCUAAUCUAGACCCUGAAUACUGAAAAGGCUCUCUCCCUGACCUGACCUUGGUCAACCUCCCCUAAGCUGUCUUUCAAGGCCUGUCCUUGGGCCUAUUUCUUAAGAACAAGAAUCUUGUUCAAGUCAGUUCAAUGAGAGUCCCCUACCCUUGAUUCCAAUCACUCUUCGUAGCUGAUCACAACCCUCACUCCUCAGCAUCCCUCAGUUGACAUCUGCCCACAUUGAACUGCCUUCAACAAGACUCCUGUCCAGCCCAUUUAUCCAGAAUUUUUUCCCCCGAUGUUCCCUCUUAGUAAUUUUCCAUUCACUGACCCCCGACCCUGCUCCAAGGCUGUAAAUUCUCACUUUUCAUUUUUGUAUUUGAAGUUGAACCCAAUGUGUCUUUCCUAGUCAUUGCAGUAGUCCCGUUGAAUAAGAUCUUCCAUGCCAUCUUAAGGGUCAGCAGAACCUUUUCUUUAACAGUAGGCAUAUCUAGGCAAGUCAUCAAUCUUAGGAUGGCAUAACUUAUAUAUCCCCAAGCAUAUGGAAGGUAUGUGAGUAACUUAGCAUUUCUGUUCCCUUUACCCUCUUGUAUUUUUUAUUUUAAUUUACUUUACAUUCUGCUAUAAAAAAAACAAGGAUUCUGAAAUCUCUAAUAAAACACAUUAUCUAGAUUAUGAAGGACUAAAUGAAGAUGCUGGGUGGCUGGGAGACUGGGCCCCAUACCUCCAGGAUCACUCCUAACCAGUGCAUCUUAUAUAUAUAAGUUACAGCAGGCGGGUUCCUACAAUGAGCAGACCCAAAAAUGCAUGGUAGCUUAAACACAAAAAAGUAACAUAACAGAAUUAUGUAAGUGAAUAAAUUACUGAAUGAUCAACAUCUACACAAAGACCCUGCAAUCUUCCCCAUUUACCUUCUAAGUUCACCCUAUAAUCAUCUAAAGAAUAUGGAGAAGAGGUUCAUGGAAAGUCCUGCUGGAUCCAGUUUGGAAGUAACUCACUUCCCUUCUGCUUUCAUUCAUUACCAAAACUUGCUGGUGUGGAUGCUUCUGACAGCAAGGCAGGCUGGAAAAUGUAGUCUCUACCUGCAGCAAUUUCCUAAUAUGGGAAGCAUAAUAUAGGCAAGUCCUCCUGGCCUCUAGACUCAGUAUUAACUUAUUGAUUAAAGCUUGAGAUUUCUGCAACAACACAAACUCUCUUAUUCUAUAAACUAGCCAUGCUGAUUUUAAAAUACAAACAUGCCUAAAGACAGAAAUAAUGAUAGGAAAGUCAUCCUCAUUAUGGUGCAAGUAGCUUAUUGUAGCUACAUAUUGUGAUGUGGUACGGUGUUGGGAGACCAUUGUUCAUGGGUCUCUUGGGUUUCCUAUUGUACCUACAGGUUGUGAUGUGGUAUGGUGUCUCCUGGGUUUCUUAUUGUACCUACAAGUUGCGAUGUGCUACGGUGUUGGGAGACCAUUGUUCGUGGUCUCUUGGGUUUCUUAUUGUACCUACAAGUUGUGAUGUGAUAUGGUGUUGUGAGACCAUUGUUCAUGGGUCUCUUGGGUUUCUUAUUGUAGCUAUAAGUUACGAUGUGGUACAGUGUUGGGAGACCAUUGUUCAUGGGCCUCUUGGGUUUCCUAUUGUACCUACAGGUUGUGAUGUGGUACAGUGUUGGGAGACCAUUGUUCAUGGGCCUCUUGGGUUUCCUAUUGUACCUACAGGUUGUGAUGUGGUACAGUGGAGCCCAUUGUCCAUGGGUCUCUUGGGUUUCUGCCUGUCCUGUGAGCAGAGGCACAGGUUACCUUUGCUUUGGACAAUCUUCUCAAGGAAGUUUGUAGAGUGAACAACUUGGGUGACAAUGAUCAUGUCUCCUUCAGAGAAAAGGACCAAUCCACUUGCAGCCUGGGAAUAUGGAUCCUGCCUCCCCCUAGAGGAUCAUGCCAUAAAAGAUCUGGGACCCAUCAUCUUUGGUUUCCACCCUUGUGAUGUAGCCCAGUGUGUAUGCAAGUAUCACUUGGCUCUUUGUGCUGCCUUGUGGGAACUGAGUUUUGGGAACCAGCAUAAUAGAAAUGAUAUCUAGACAACUGUAAUUGCUGUGAUAAUAAAUUGUCCUUUACCUGCAACCUGGGAACCUCACAUCCUCUACCAGAAACCAUGAAAUGGCAUCAGGCUAACCAAGUUAGUGUACAAGUGGGGCAAAGUCUCAGCUCCUUCACAGAUCUUGACAAGAAUUAAUGUCAUAUAAUUAAAAAAAAAAACAGAGGAGGUAUGUGCUUUCAUCUUCACCUAGAGCCAGACUUGUCAUGCACCAUCUGUAGAAUAAAGGUACCGAUGCCUCAAGUCUUGUUUAAGACCCUAGAUCCAUAAGCUCAUAGAAGCAAAAGAUGUUGCAAGCAUGUUUCUUGCUAUAUAUUCUUGCUUUGGAGGCAGCUAAUUGUAGAAUACUCAUUUAGACAAAUUCUAUUAUUUUCAUCUUUAUAUUCCUUUAUUAUACUGUUUAUGUGUAUUAGCUAUACAUAUUAGUCCAGAUGAUUCUUUAGAAGUUAAUGACACUGUCCUAACCAUGAUGCAUCUUAAUAGGCAUAUUUAAGAAUAUAUAAAAAUACAUAAGACCCCCUCACUCCAGAAAGAAG